rnacentral:rRNA from 1 species
GACGAACGCUGGCGGCGUGCCUAAUACAUGCGAGUAGAACGCACAGUUUAUACCGUAGCUUGCUCCACCAUAGACUGUGAGUUGCGAACGGGUGAGUAACGCGUAGGUAACCUGCCUGGUAGCGGGGGAUAACUAUUGGAAACGAUAGCUAAUACCGCAUAAUAUUAAUUAUUGCAUGAUAAUUAAUUGAAAGGUGCAAUUGCACCACUACCAGAUGGACCUGCGUUGUAUUAGCUAGUAGGUGAGGUAACGGCUCACCUAGGCGACGAUACAUAGCCGACCUGAGAGGGUGAUCGGCCACACUGGGACUGAGACACGGCCCAGACUCCUACGGGAGGCAGCAGUAGGGAAUCUUCGGCAAUGGACGAAAGUCUGACCGAGCAACGCCGCGUGAGUGAAGAAGGUUUUCGGAUCGUAAAGCUCUGUUGUAAGAGAAGAACGGGUGUGAGAGUGGAAAGUUCACACUGUGACGGUAUCUUACCAGAAAGGGACGGCUAACUACGUG